ensembl:lncRNA
UGUGUCUUUUCAAGAACUACAGUGAGACCGUGGACUCCCAGAUAUGGCUAAAGUCAACUGGUUUUUUUUUUUGGAGGGGGGGGGGUUUCUGGAAAGCAUAGCAAUGAAUAAGCCAUCUAAUUAUGCAGGCUUGUGAGCACUUACCAAUGCUUCCAUUAUUUUAGGCUGUUCGUAUUUCAAGAAAAAGAGAAAGGGAAUAAUCUGAAACUGAGUAUUCACUAGGAUUCUGAUAGACAUGCAAAAACAAAGGGGAAAUACACACGUUUACACCAAUGGUGUUCAAGCAGUCAGAAGCUCCUGCUGUGGGUGUCGGUAAAAAAUGACCCCUGCAACUGUCAUCCUUCCACUUUAUGGUCAUUCUGCCCAGUGGGGACUAGUUCAGCCCCAUUCCUUUGCAGUUUAUGUCUCACUUUCAGCCCUGGGGCAGUAAGCAUUGCUGCUGUGUCACUUGGCGGGCAAGAGGAUGUUUUCUAAAGCAAGCUUUUAUGUAGCACUCCAGGGCUGGAAUCUGAAAAAAGAGAGAAAACAGUACAAGAGAUCAGGCAAAAAAAAAAAAAAACACAAAAAAAGGAAAAUAAAGAAAUAAACUUUACCUUUUCAUAAAACUGGAAAUUUUACAGAGGGAAUAACCAUGACAAGUAAAUAGAAAGCCCAAGAUUGUAUAGGCUUUUUGGUGGAUUACCUCACUCCACGAGCUGCAGAACAACAACAGCAUGAACACUCAGAUACUACACUCAGUUGUAGCACACAGGCACACAGGCAGUAAAUGCAGCCUUUGUAAAGAUAAUAAUGUUCAGUUUUCAUAACAUUCUGCCGGAGAUUCAUUUCAAGUUAAUUCGUACACAGCUUUUGUUGUUUCCAGAGGCUAUUAUUACAUUGUAAGUAACAAUGACAUUUUUAAAAGUUACAUUUGAAGUUCAAAUCAAUACGCCUUAACCAGCAAGUAUAAUAUAAAUAUAUAGGAUAAUAUAAAAAUGAUGUUGUAUUUAAGAAUAAUCUCCAUACUCUCAAUCCACCUUAUUUCCAGCAGCCGUCACCAAAUAAGCUCUAAAAA